AUGGCUCCUGCAGAAGGUCAGCAGAAAUGUUCAUGCAUACUUAUUUUUGCACAAUAUUCAUUGAUUCAAACUGCUCCUGAGCCUCUCUCCCCCCUUUUUAAUAGGAAUUUUAUCAUGUUUUUAAAUCUUUGCCAAUAUCAACGUGGCCAAUUUAAUUUCACACAAAAAAGUGUGGGAGCAGCAGUCUCAGUUCCCCUGGAUAAACACUGGACUACGUGCUGUUUGUGUUUGACUAUGUCAGCCAUGAGCUCUAAUGUCUCCUUAAACACCUGUGUAAUUCCUCUCAAAACCAUCUUGAAAUGCGCUGGCUUCUUACCCUGGGAUCUGUCAUCCUGUUCGGUUCGGGGCACCUCAGGCCUCCAUCACCUGCCUGCAGCCCUGGGAGUCAGCAUUGCAACCUCAGUCUGCUGGCGUGGGAGAGAAAGACCAAGCUCCAGUAGUAAUGUGCAUUUGUCAUGGAAACUGAUUUGAAUUUAAUUCUAAACCCUGUUUUGCACCAGGAAAAUCUUCCAUUGAUAGUGAGGUACCACAGCUGGGCUAUAGCACAUGCGAAAUAAUAGAUGUGGGAGAGAAAAAGAGCAAGGUGUGUUUCCAUGCUUCCCCGUCUACUUCACUGCAUCUCCUCCUUUACAUCAUCACUUGUGAAGAUGCUUCUGCAGAACUGCCCUGGGGGGAUGCCGGGCACAGGCAAGUAUUUUUAUAGAAAAAUCCCAACAUUUGAAUAGGAUUCACUAAAAGCUUCUCUAGGAGCUAAUGUAUUUAGGAAUUAAUCUUGGUAUACUUUUUUUUUUUUUUUUUUUGAUCUAGCUAUUAAAGAAGAGUAAUCAAGAGUAAUAUUCGCUAUUGCAUUCUACAGAGUCUUUGCUUGAACUUGUCCUGUUCUGCUUCCUGCCCAUCAUAAUCACAUCGUUUCUCCUGCAACCUGAGCCCUUCUCAGUUCUGGAAACUGGUUGAGAUUCACCCAAUACUGCUUCCCAACAGAAAGCGAUUUCCUGUCUCAAAUGACUAAACUGUUGCAUUUAGAAGAGAAGGAAUUUAAUUUCACUGUCAUCCUCUGAGCUAACAAGAUGAUUCAUUGGUUUGCAUACGUACUGAAGGCUGCCAGUGAGGAGCAUGCUUUG
rnacentral:lncRNA from 1 species